AGAGGGACAACCUGUUGAACCAACUACUAUUGCACCCUGUCCUGAAGAACCAAAACCCAAACCACCCAAAAAAUGCAAAGGUCCAAAUGAAAAAUGGGUAAAAUGCAAAACAAUAUGUCCGCCCCAGAGGUGUGAUAUAUCCUACACUACCUACAACUGUCAAAAAAAACAAAAAUGCAUAAGUGGCUGUGACUGCAUUAAAGAUUAUUUGAGGGUUAACAAUGGGACUUGUGUAAAGAACGAUGACUGUCCUCCACCUCCCUCUCCGGAACCAUCAACUGAAAAACCAAGUA